AUACGGAGGACGCGAGCGUUAUCCGGAUUCAUUGGGUUUAAAGGGUGCGCAGGCGGCCGUGCAAGUCAGCGGUGAAAGCCCGGGGCUCAACCCCGGAAGUGCCGUUGAUACUGCAUGGCUGGAAUGCGGUCGAGGCGGGCGGAACGUGGCGUGUAGCGGUGGAAUGAGUAGAUAUGCCACAGAACGCCGAUAGCGGAGGCAGCUCGCCAGGCCUGCAUUGACGCUCGGGCACGAAAGCGUGGGGAUCGAACAGGAUUAGAUACCCUGGUAGUCCACACUGUAAACGAUGAAUGCUAGGUGUAAGAGGUAUCGACCCCUUUUGUGCCGGAGUCAACACAAUAAGCAUUCCGCCUGGGGAGUACGGCCGCAAGGUUGAAACUCAAAUGAAUUGACGGGG
rnacentral:rRNA from 1 species